rnacentral:rRNA from 1 species
UACGAAGGGUGCAAACGUUGCUCGGAAUUAUUGGGCGUAAAGCGCACGUAGGCGGCUUAGCAAGUCGGAAGUGAAAUCCCUCGGCUCAACCAAGGAAGUGCUUUCGAAACUGCUGAGCUUGAGUACUUAAGAGGAUCGCGGAAUUCCCGGUGUAGAGGUGAAAUUCGUAGAUAUCGGGAGGAACACCGGUGGCGAAGGCGGUUCUCUGGGCCUUACCUGACGCUGAGGAGCGAAAGCGUGGGGAGCGAACAGG